UAAUGAUGGCUAUUGUAUGUCAGGAGUA
rnacentral:sRNA from 1 species